CCCUUAGAUGUCCUGGGCCGCACGCGCGCUACACUGAGUGUCUGAGAUACGAGUCUGCCUGGUCCGGCAAGGUCUAGGUAAUCGCUAAAAGACACAUCAUGCUUGGGAUAGAUUAUUGCAAAUAUUAUUCUUGAACGAGGAAUUCCUAGUAAGCGCAAGUCAACAGCUUGCGUUGAUUACGUCCCUGCCCUUUGUACACACCGCCCGUCGCUACUACUGAUUGGAUGUUUAAGCGAGGUUCUCGAACUGCUAGCGACUUAGCUUCGGUGAGGUCGCAGUGUGGGAAGUGAACCUAGCUUUGGUGUCUAGAGGAAGUAAAAGUCGUAACA
rnacentral:rRNA from 1 species